AGUCGAGCGACUGAUUAGAAGCUUGCUUCUAUGACGUUAGCGGCGGACGGGUGAGUAACACGUGGGCAACCUGCCUGUAAGACUGGGAUAACUUCGGGAAACCGAAGCUAAUACCGGAUAGGAUCUUCUCCUUCAUGGGAGAUGAUUGAAAGAUGGUUUCGGCUAUCACUUACAGAUGGGCCCGCGGUGCAUUAGCUAGUUGGUGAGGUAACGGCUCACCAAGGCCACGAUGCAUAGCCGACCUGAGAGGGUGAUCGGCCACACUGGGACUGAGACACGGCCCAGACUCCUACGGGAGGCAGCAGUAGGGAAUCUUCCGCAAUGGACGAAAGUCUGACGGAGCAACGCCGCGUGAGUGAUGAAGGCUUUCGGGUCGUAAAACUCUGUUGUUAGGGAAGAACAAGUAUGAGAGUAACUGCUCGUACCUUGACGGUACCUAACCAGAAAGCCACGGCUAACUACGUGCCAGCAGCCGCGGUAAUACGUAGGUGGCAAGCGUUAUCCGGAAUUAUUGGGCGUAAAGCGCGCGCAGGCGGUUUCUUAAGUCUGAUGUGAAAGCCCACGGCUCAACCGUGGAGGGUCAUUGGAAACUGGGGAACUUGAGUGCAGAAGAGAAAAGCGGAAUUCCACGUGUAGCGGUGAAAUGCGUAGAGAUGUGGAGGAACACCAGUGGCGAAGGCGGCUU
rnacentral:rRNA from 1 species